rnacentral:rRNA from 1 species
UACAGAGGUCUCAAGCGUUGUUCGGAUUCAUUGGGCGUAAAGGGUGCGUAGGUGGCGCCGUAAGUCAGGUGUGAAAUCUCGGGGCUCAACCCCGAAACUGCACUUGAUACUGCGGUGCUCGAGUACUGGAGAGGAGAUUGGAAUUUACGGUGUAGCAGUGAAAUUCGUAGAUAUUCGCAAGAACACCAGUGGCGAAGGCGGCUCACUGGCCCGGUACUGACGCUGAGGUGCGAAAGCGUGGGGAGCAAACAGG